UGGGUUUGACUUGAAGAGUCGCCACAUAAUGAUUAGGGUGCAUUAGGACACCAAGGAGAUUUGAUUUGAAUGACCAGAUAUUGGGUAAGGGCUUGAAAUUGUUCCAAUGGGAAGGUGUUAGGCACCCAUCAGAAUACACUAGUGUGGUUCCGGCCAGACCAUUAUUGUGAAUUUAUGUGCAAAUAACAUGUACGAAGAUAAAAACUUAAAAUAAGAGGGGAUUUUCACAUAAUGGUUUUACAAAUAAACAAAGUUGGAAAUAAUUUAAAAAAAGCUGAUUUUUCUUAGAAGAAAGAGUUAAAAAAAUUUAAAAGAACAAAGAAAUAAAGGGAAGGGGGUCCUAGGUUUAUUAACAACAUGAAUCACCCUACAUAAUAUCCGGUAAUGACUCCUCAAUGAGGGGCUACACGUGACAUUAUCGUGUGGUCAUCAUAUCCAUUCUAUCAUUCCCUCCCUGUUAAGGUAUUAAAGUGUGGAAUGGUCUCGUUUACUUAUCGCAUGCUAUUACCCCUCCCAAUCCUAUCAGUUCCGGAAUCAUUUGAGACUAAUAAUCCUAAAGGGGAUGGAUAUUAGGCUAUUUUCUUUUUUAAAGGCGAAAAUUUUAAGUCGACAUACAAAACAUGUAUAGCAAGUUGGGGAAAGCACAUAACAAGCAGAGGCUCAAAUAUACCUCCUUGACAAAGUAGCACGUAAUUAGCAUGACUUACACGUACUGGUUAAGGUCUGAUUAAAUACUGAACAUGAAAGAGCUUAAAGGUUGAGGCGGACUGAUUUAUUUCAUAAUUCAGAUAAGAAGCCCCAACCAGGCCUGCCUGUUGGUUGCAGUUAAUAGAAUCGAUUCAGUUUAUAAUUUUACCCUAAGGCUUGCCUAAGUAUCGGACAAGGAUCUUAUAGGCAUGGUAUCUAUUGAAUUUAGAAAGCAAUGAAAUAACAAAGUCUAAAAUAAACUAAAUACGUAAUGGUUGAAAGGGGUAGUCAGAUUAUUAAAGGAAAGGCAAGUUUUUAUGAGGGAUAUAAGUUCUAUAACUGAUAGUACCCAUAAUUACUGAUUUAAUCUCGAUACAUGGAUAAAGCGAUUCAGAUUCGAUUAGGAGUUCCUAUAGACAUGCUUUCUACGCGUAGUUGAUUCUGAACCUUGUAUACAUGGUAUAAAAUGCAGAAGACUCGUUUUAAAACUUAUGAACAUGAUAUCUAGAUGCAGAAAAUUGUUUAAUACCUAUGAGCAUGAUGUCUAGGUGUAGAAAUUUGUUGAAGACCUAUGGACAUUAUAUCUAGGUGCAAAAUUUGUUUAAAACCUAUGGACAUGAUAUCUAGGUGUAAUUGAAUAUGCAGAUUUGGACAAUUUUGUAGGCAUGAUUUCUAUAUGAAUAUAUUAUUCCUAUGAUCAUGAUUUCUAUAUGAGAAUAGAUACACAGGAUUCAGAAGGACAUAUAGGCAUGAUUUUUAUAUGCAUGCAGAUUUAAAACACCUAUAGGCGAGAUUUCUAUAUGCUUUUGAAUGUGCAGAAUUUGAAAUACCUAUUGACAUGCUUUCUACCUUUUGCAUACAUAAUUACCCACCCCUUUUUACUAACCAUCCCCAAGAGUUUAUUACAAAUUAUUACAUCCCGUCAUAAAGUAAAAAAAUACAUCAUAAAAAAAUAAAUAAAAGUACAACCAAGGAAAGCCUAAUUCAGACUUCAUGUUUGCAAUAUGGGGUAAACCAACUCCAAGAGAUCAUGAUCCAAACUUUUCUCCCUUUUUGAGUGUGUCAAAGUUCCCUAAAAGCCUCAAUGGGACUCCGGGCAAUGCUCACACCCAAAUGUGCUAUUAGAACACGACAAGUGCAGUAUGGAAGGGACAACCCUCAAGUGUCCAAGUUCAGAGAGAGCUCAAAGGAACCCAAGGCAAGGCUCAAGAGGGGGGGCAGAACUUAGAGACUAAGAAGAUGUGCAAGUGAAGAACAGAAUACUAAAAAGGGAAAAGGAGAGGAAAACAGCCAUAAAUAAGCACAUAUAAGGGGGUUCGGGGGAAUUGGGAGAUUGUAAAGAGCCCAUUGCUUAGGAAAGGGCAGGCCUUAGGUAUGCCCAACAAUGGAGAGUGCUAGCAUGCCUAUAAGCCUUCUAGAACACACAUUAUUAGAGGCUAGGAUCCCAGGGGAUUAAGUUUGAGUCAUGGAAAAUAAUUCGUAGUAUUGUCACACCUCAAACCAUAGCUUAAACACAUAGGGGGUUGGGGUUUUGGAUUCAUAAUAGAACAGGCAGAAAGAAACUUCAGCAUGCUAGAAUAAAUGUUGAACUAUAUAGAAGCAUUAAGCAGACAUGGAUAUAAAGAUAUUAAAUAAACACAUUGUUGUGGUGUUGAAAACCUUAAAUCAGGACAUACCAGUUUCAAAGAAGCAAAUAGCGAAAAAGCAGGCAGCAAGACUUGCAAACAGGACACAAUACAAAUAUCAAGAGAAAAUUAUUUUGAGUGUAAGUAUAAGUUCAAAAAGACUAUGAGUGUAGGUGUGUAGAAAACUAAAAGUCUUCGUGUCUUUUGCCAAUGAAAGAUCAGGUAUUUAUAGUGUGAAAAACAAGCAGAAAUAAGGUAAGAAAACAAUUAAGGAACUGGGUAUCAACUAAAAUCAAUCAGUACAAGACUUCAUUUACUUAAGGAAUUCAAUCUUAAAUGGUAAUAAACAAAAAUUAUUUAAGGAAAAAAAUCCAAUAAGCAUCUUGUGCAAAAUAGGCAAUUAGGGGUAACUACAUAGGAGUUUAUAGAGGAAGAGUUUUGAAAUACACGGUUAAAACAAAAUAUGGUAAGAAUCAAUUAUUACACAGUAAAUCAAAGAGCCAGAGGUUUGUAAUCAUUUGUCCCUGAAUGAACCAAGUGAGAAAAGCUAAGGAAAUUCUUCGACUAAGACCAAGUAACAGGGAAAUCAGCAAACAAGGAAAGAAAUCAGUCAGACUUACACAAAGGAAGUCUAAAUCAUUCAAAAGAAAUUGAAAGUCAUUUAGAUGGGAAGUUCAACACAAAUAAAGAGUACUCAAGUAUUAGGCAUGCGAGGCUGAAUUUAUGACAAAGAAAAAGUGUCAUGCAAUUGCAAAAUCGGUAAGUAGUAGACUAUAGGGACAUGGUAAUCACAGGGUUAAUCAGUAAUGGAGAAGAGAGAGUAUCAAAUAGCAUAUAAAGGGUCCAGUAUAAAGACCUUAAAAAAGUUUAGUAGGGAAUCAGAAUCGUUAAAAGAAUAAAAUGUUGAAACAAAGAUUUUGAAACUUCAUUAAGCAAUAGAUGAAACAUCUUCAGAAACUCGAAAUAGGUCCAAAUAAGUUAGGGUUUUGAAAUCAAUCGACUUCAGAGAUAAAGAGCAAGCAAAUCACGUAGCCAAUGGUCUCAAAACUCGGAUGAACCCUCAAAUUCUAGGGAUUUUACCAUUAGUUGUGUAUAGAGACGAAAAUAAGUAAAUCACGCAGAAAUACUAACGAAACAAGUUCAAAGGUAUCAAAAGGAGGUGAGGCCUUUAACAUGCAUCUUUUAGUAGGAGAAACUAAUAAGAAAUAUAGUAGAAGAAUAGCAUGCGAAAUACAAUAGAGGAAUUCAUAAGAAUAUUAGAAGAAAUACAUAGGAAACACAAUAGAAGAAACAUAUAAAGAAACGCAGUAGAAGAGAUUAAUAAGAAACAUAGUAGAAGAAACACACAAGGAAAGUCAAUAGAAGAAACUAAUAAGAAACAUAGUAGAAGAAAUACACAAGAGAAAAAGAAAAUGGGAUAAGUAUAUAAAUAACUUAUCAAAAACCCAAAUCAGGAAAAAUAAAGGUUUUGAAAGCAUAGUUUAUUGAAAGAAAUCUUGAGAAACCAUUUAAAAACUCAGGAAAAGUACGGAUCUAGAACGAUUCUAAAAAAAUUUGAAGAACCUCAAAAGCUAGGGUUUUUUAGGGAACUCCAAUGGUGAGAAAGGCUUGGAUAGUCGUUGAUCUAAGUAGGAGGAGUCGAGGUCAGGCUCGAACAACUAUGGUUUGUCGGAGCAAGG
rnacentral:lncRNA from 1 species